rnacentral:miRNA from 1 species
UCCCCUCUUUAGCUUGGAGAAG